rnacentral:rRNA from 1 species
AGAUUGAACGCUGGCGGCAGGCCUAACACAUGCAAGUCGAGCGGUAGAGAGGUGCUUGCAUCUCUUGAGAGCGGCGGACGGGUGAGUAAUGCCUAGGAAUCUGCCUAGUGGUGGGGGAUAACGUUCGGAAACGGACGCUAAUACCGCAUACGUCCUACGGGAGAAAGCGGGGGACCUUCGGGCCUCGCGCCAUUAGAUGAGCCUAGGUCGGAUUAGCUAGUUGGUGAGGUAAUGGCUCACCAAGGCGACGAUCCGUAACUGGUCUGAGAGGAUGAUCAGUCACACUGGAACUGAGACACGGUCCAGACUCCUACGGGAGGCAGCAGUGGGGAAUAUUGGACAAUGGGCGAAAGCCUGAUCCAGCCAUGCCGCGUGUGUGAAGAAGGUCUUCGGAUUGUAAAAUUCUUUCACCGGGACGAUAAUGACGUACCGGAGAAGAAGCCCGGCUAACUUCGUGCCAGCAGCCGC